rnacentral:lncRNA from 1 species
UAAAACAAUACUCUCAAUCACAUCACUAGGGUAUGUAUAUAUUAUGUCAAACCCCUAAUGUGAUUAUUCCUUCUUAUAUAAUUCAAUUGAGUCGUAUAGGAACGCUUUCCUUUAUUACGCUCGAUACUUCGGCCGAAGAUUCCAGAAUCAUGUCUUAGAGUAUUCAUCCUCUCUUAACGAGGAUUAGAGAUUCCUUGUUGCGCAUUCACUUGCCUUCAUGACUAAGUGGCUUAACCUCGACUAUGCCGUGGACACCCGCGGGAUGGAGUGACUUUGACAUAAUCAAGAUCAAGUACUUAACCACAAGACAACGAUGAUGCCUUAGGUCAAAUGACUACUUACAUUAUUCCAACUAUUAGAGUUACUUGCUUGACAUGUGAGUAGACCUUCAUUCAAGUACUCUCGUUCGAUUGUGUCCAGUGAACUCAUUCCCUUAAUGAGCACCUACAUACUUGUCUUAGUGUCACUACACGAAUGGGAUGAGACUUUCCAUCAUCCUAAUUGAAGCUGACAUAGUAUGUACCGGUCUAUGCAUUGUCAGUAUCCCUCCGACAAUCCUAUGACCAGGAACCUUUUGGACAUGAUGGUUAUAUGAAGAAGGUCUCUGUAGUCUAACAUCAUUAGAUUACUUCUUCAAUCGAUCCAUUGUCCAUGGAUUCACCAUUUAGGACAUAUAUCGUUUAUAGAG